UUAUGGCUCAGGCAAGCUCAUUGGCUUUUAUAUCUUGUUGUGAGGUUUUCUUUAAGACAACCUUCUUGUGAUCAUCAGAUCAAGUAUUUACAGUACCCGAGUCACAUCUACAAUAUCUUCACCUCGGUUGCAGUCUAACUGUUGUUUCUGAUGCCAUAGUUUUUUGCACCUCCUGGUUGGGUUGAGGGCAUGGAGAGGCAGUCUGUGGUAUCCGUGAUGGACAUGUUCUUCCCAGCUUAUGACUCUGGUGGGAAUGAGCUGAUUGUAGAAGAAUACCUCCAGCAUGUGAAAAACCCAGAGGACAUACGGGAUGCAUUCACUGAAAUUCUGGGUGACAUGGUCCUCGUCCUACCUACCCUGAAAGUAAUGCGGUACCACAGAGGUUAGCGUCAACAUCUAGACAUGAUCUGAAUCUUACUAAAUUAGAUCUACUGAGACAUCUAAUUGAUUUAUCAUAAUAACAAGUACAUCCUCACACACAUAGACACACACGCACGCACACGCACACACACACACACACAGAUGCAGGUGUUCCUGUGUAUCUGUAUGAGUUUCAGCAUUUAUCACAAAUGCGCCGUGAGACGAGACCCAGCUUUGUCAAGGCUGACCACUAUGAUGACGCAAUGCUUGCCCUCGGAGCCUGCUUUUGGAAUGGACACAGGUCACAGGACCGAUCAGUGAAGAGGACGAAGAGUUUAGCAGGAUAGCGAUGGCGUACAUGGCCAACUUCGCACGCAUUGGGUCUCCCAAUGGGCCGGGGUUGGUGGAGUGGACUCCCUUUGACCACACUGAGAGUUACCUGAACCUGGGCUUGGAGCAGACAGUGGGCCAGAGACUGAAGCAGAACAGGUCCCACUUCUUGAACAUAGUCCUGCCCCAGAAACUCUCAACCCACCAGACAGCCAAUGAGGAGCUCUAAAUCUCUGUGCUUUACCAUAUAUGGACGCUUCAAUGAAAACAUUAUCAACAAUCAUUUGGUAACACUUUGGUAUCACAAAUUGAAUACAUUCUGUUGUAUAUACGUGCUUUUUAAAUACUGUGGCUGUAAAAAUACACAUGUAUGUUGUACAAUGGAUGAAAAAAUAUCUAAAAGAUUACUCCUUGUAAAUGAUGUUGAAUAAAUGUGUUAUGAUGGUU